AGAGUUUGAUCAUGGCUCAGAGUGAACGCUGGCGGCGUGCUUAACACAUGCAAGUCGAACGAGAACGGAUUAUAGCUUGCUAUAAUUGUCAGCUAAGUGGCGCACGGGUGAGUAAUGUAUAGGUAAUAUGCCUCUUACUAAGGGAUAACAAUUGGAAACGAUUGCUAAUACCUUAUACUCCUUAUUAACCUAAGUUAAUAAGGGAAAGAUUUAUUGGUAAGAGAUUAGCCUGUAUUGUAUCAGUUAGUUGGUGGGGUAAUGGCCUACCAAGACUAUGACACAUAACUGGUUUGAGAGGAUGAUCAGUCACACUGGAACUGAGACACGGUCCAGACUCCUACGGGAGGCAGCAGUGGGGAAUAUUGCACAAUGGACGGAAGUCUGAUGCAGCAACGCCGCGUGGAGGAUGACACAUUUCGGUGCGUAAACUCCUUUUAUAUGAGAAGAUAAUGACGGUAUUAUAUGAAUAAGCACCGGCUAACUCCGUGCCAGCAGCCGCGGUAAUACGGGGGGUGCAAGCGUUACUCGGAAUUACUGGGCGUAAAGCGCACGCAGGCGGUUGGAUAAGUUAGAUGUGAAAGCCCCGGGCUCAACCUGGGAAUUGCAUUUAAAACUGUCCAGCUAGAGUCUUGUAGAGGGGGGUAGAAUUCCAGGUGUAGCGGUGAAAUGCGUAGAGAUCUGGAGGAAUACCGGUGGCGAAGGCGGCCCCCUGGACAAAGACUGACGCUCAGGUGCGAAAGCGUGGGGAGCAAACAGGAUUAGAUACCCUGGUAGUCCACGCCGUAAACGAUGUCGAUUUGGAGGCUGUGUCCUUGAGACGUGGCUUCCGGAGCUAACGCGUUAAAUCGACCGCCUGGGGAGUACGGCCGCAAGGUUAAAACUCAAAUGAAUUGACNGGGGCCCGCACAAGCNGUGGAGCNUGUGGGUUUAUUUNNAUGCAACGCGAAGAACCUUACCUNGGCCUUGACAUGUCUGGGAUCCUGUANAGAUACGGGNNUAGUGCCUUCGGGAAUCAGAACACAGGUGCUGCAUGGCUGUCGUCAGCUCGUGUCGUGAGAUGUUGGGUUAAGUCCCGCAACGAGCGCAACCCUCGUCAUUAGUUGCUAACAGUUCGGCUGAGAACUCUAAUGAGACUGCCUACGUAAGUAGGAGGAAGGUGAGGACGACGUCAAGUCAUCAUGGCCCUUACGUCCAGGGCUACACACGUGCUACAAUGGGGUAUACAAAGAGCCGCAAUACGGUGACGUGGAGCAAAUCUCAAAAAUAUCUCCCAGUUCGGAUUGUAGUCUGCAACUCGACUACAUGAAGUUGGAAUCGCUAGUAAUCGUAGAUCAGCUAUGCUACGGUGAAUACGUUCCCGGGUCUUGUACUCACCGCCCGUCACACCAUGGGAGUUGAACUCAUUCGAAGCGGGGAUGCUAAAAUAGCUACCUUCCACAGUGGAUUCAGCGACUGGGGUGAAGUCGUAACAAAGGUAACCA
rnacentral:rRNA from 1 species